AGAAGAGAAAGAGAAGGAAGCACGCCAAGCCGCACAGGCGGAACAAUUAGCUGUAGAAGGGAUUAAUAUUGCGGCGGAGGUUGAGGCAGCAAUACCAAUUUCUUUUAGGACAUCAGAUGAAGGAGAUGUCUACCCUUUUGAAUCCAACCAAAUGAUGCUUCUACGAUCUCUUUCUCUCUUUGUGUAUAUAUACAUCAAAUAAUUUU
rnacentral:lncRNA from 1 species